CUCAUGCCCUGCUUUGAGUAAAACACCAGCCCCUGGGCCACAAAGGUUUUCAAAGGUUACCUUUUCAUUGCAUUGUUCAGGCACAUCUUGUUUAUGGAUUGUCUAAAUAUACUGAAAGUGGAUCUUUUAUCAGAAUUCCUUCUGGCUGAAAAUGAAGGAUGUCAGAUAUGACUGGAACACUGACAGAUUCAUCAUUGCUCACAAGAAGUUCCCUCGAAACACUUCCAUUAGAAACCCCAAAGUUCAGGCCAUGAAUAGGACACUUUCCUGUUGUUCCUCUCAGCACUGAGGGGGGCACACUACUGGCUGUGGAGGCUCAGCAGCAGACUUCUGGGAAGCAUGUCAAAUACCACUUGGCAUCUACUGCUCAUACCUGAGAAAUGAUGGGCUUACAUUCCUGUGGGGGACACUGUUACCCAGAGCAUCGGACCCUGGAUGAGGGCCGGCAGAUGAUGACUUUUUGUUCCCCAAGACAAAGGAUACUCAACCCAAAAGUAAAAACCUUGGCAUGCUCCUGAA